rnacentral:rRNA from 1 species
GACGAACGCUGGCGGCGUGCUUAACACAUGCAAGUCGAACGGAAAGGCCCUGCUUUUGUGGGGUGCUCGAGUGGCGAACGGGUGAGUAACACGUGAGUAACCUGCCCUUGACUUUGGGAUAACUUCAGGAAACUGGGGCUAAUACCGGAUAGGAGCUCCUGCUGCAUGGUGGGGGUUGGAAAGUUUCGGCGGUUGGGGAUGGACUCGCGGCUUAUCAGCUUGUUGGUGGGGUAGUGGCUUACCAAGGCUUUGACGGGUAGCCGGCCUGAGAGGGUGACCGGCCACAUUGGGACUGAGAUACGGCCCAGACUCCUACGGGAGGCAGCAGUGGGGAAUAUUGCACAAUGGGCGGAAGCCUGAUGCAGCAACGCCGCGUGCGGGAUGACGGCCUUCGGGUUGUAAACCGCUUUCGCCUGUGACGAAGCGUGAGUGACGGUAAUGGGUAAAGAAGCACCGGCUAACUACGUGCCAGCAGCCGCGGUGAUACGUAGGGUGCGAGCGUUGUCCGGAUUUAUUGGGCGUAAGGGCUCGUAGGUGGUUGAUCGCGUCGGAAGUGUAAUCUUGGGGCUUAACCCUGAGCGUGCUUUCGAUACGGGUUGACUUGAGGAAGGUAGGGGAGAAUGGAAUUCCUGGUGGAGCGGUGGAAUGCGCAGAUAUCAGGAGGAACACCAGUGGCGAAGGCGGUUCUCUGGGCCUUUCCUGACGCUGAGGAGCGAAAGCGUGGGGAGCGAACAGGCUUAGAUACCCUGGUAGUCCACGCUGUAAACGGUGGGUACUAGGUGUGGGGUCCAUUCCACGGGUUCCGCGCCGUAGCUAACGCUUUAAGUACCCCGCCUGGGGAGUACGGCCGCAAGGCUAAAACUCAAAGGAAUUGACGGGGCCCCGCACAAGCGGCGGAGCAUGCGGAUUAAUUCGAUGCAACGCGUAGAACCUUACCUGGGUUUGACAUGGAUCGGGAGUGCUCAGAGAUGGGUGUGCCUCUUUUGGGGUCGGUUCACAGGUGGUGCAUGGCUGUCGUCAGCUCGUGUCGUGAGAUGUUGGGUUAAGUCCCGCAACGAGCGCAACCCUUGUUCACUGUUGCCAGCACGUUAUGGUGGGGACUCAGUGGAGACCGCCGGGGUCAACUCGGAGGAAGGUGGGGAUGACGUCAAGUCAUCAUGCCCCUUAUGUCCAGGGCUUCACGCAUGCUACAAUGGCUGGUACAGAGAGUGGCGAGCCUGUGAGGGUGAGCGAAUCUCGGAAAGCCGGUCUCAGUUCGGAUUGGGGUCUGCGACUCGACCUCAUGAAGUCGGAGUCGCCAGUAAUCGCAGAUCAGCAACGCUGCGGUGAAUACGUUCCCGGG